UACGUAGGGCGCAAGCGUUAUCCGGAAUUAUUGGGCGUAAAGCGUGCGCAGGCGGUCUGUUAAGACCGAUGUGAAAUCCCCGGGCUUAACCUGGGAACUGCAUUGGUGACUGGCAGGCUUUGAGUGUGGCAGAGGGAGGUAGAAUUCCACGUGUAGCAGUGAAAUGCGUAGAGAUGUGGAGGAAUACCGAUGGCGAAGGCAGCCGUC
rnacentral:rRNA from 1 species